rnacentral:tRNA from 1 species
GGAAAUGUGCCCGAGACCAUAAGGACUACUUUGAUAGAGUACGACACAGAGAUUUAACCCCUCUCAUUUCCUUA